GACGAACGCUGGCGGCGUGCUUAACACAUGCAAGUCGAACGGAAAGGCCCUGCUUGCAGGGUACUCGAGUGGCGAACGGGUGAGUAACACGUGGGUGAUCUGCCCUGCACUUCGGGAUAAGCCUGGGAAACUGGGUCUAAUACCGGAUAGGAGCCAUUUUUAGUGUGAUGGUUGGAAAGUUUUUUCGGUGUAGGAUGAGCUCGCGGCCUAUCAGCUUGUUGGGGGGGAAUGGCCUACCAAGGCGGCGACGGGUAGCCGGCCUGAGAGGGUGGACGGCCACAUUGGGACUGAGAUACGGCCCAGACUCCUACGGGAGGCAGCAGUGGGGAAUAUUGCACAAUGGGCGCAAGCCUGAUGCAGCGACGCCGCGUGGGGGAUGACGGCCUUCGGGUUGUAAACUCCUUUCGCUAGGGACGAAGCUUUUUGUGACGGUACCUAGAUAAGAAGCACCGGCUAACUACGUG
rnacentral:rRNA from 1 species